GAGCACUGAAUGUUUUGGCCUAUGCCCAUGUUGGAAUGACUGUGUAGGCUUUCAUCUGUUCUUGGAAACAAAACACUUCCAGGCCUGGCUAGUAUUUAGGUGGGAGACUGCCUAGGAAUCCUGGMUGCUCU
ensembl:rRNA 5S_rRNA 5S ribosomal RNA